UACGGAGGGUGCAAGCGUUAUCCGGAUUUACUGGGUUUAAAGGGUGUGUAGGCGGACUAUUAAGUCAGGGGUGAAAGACGGUAGCUCAACUAUCGCAGUGCCCUUGAUACUGAUGGGCUUGAAUGAACUAGAGGUAGGCGGAAUGUGACAAGUAGCGGUGAAAUGCAUAGAUAUGUCACAGAACACCAAUUGCGAAGGCAGCUUACUAUGGUUUUAUUGACACUGAGGCACGAAAGCGUGGGGAUCAAACAGG
rnacentral:rRNA from 1 species